UUUCGCAAUGCCCGAAAGGGUGACGAAGCGGCGCCGCGUGCGGGAGGAAGGCCUUCGGGUUGUAAACCGCUGUCGGGAGUUAAGAAAUGCAAGGAUGUUAAUAGCGUUCUUGCUUGACUAAGGCUCCGGAGGAAGCCACGGCUAACUCUGUGCCAGCAGCCGCGGUAAUACAGAGGCGGCAAGCGUUGUUCGGAAUUAUUGGGCGUAAAGAGCACGUAGGCGGCUGUGUAAGUCGGUUGUGAAAGCCUUCCGCUCAACGGAAGAACGGCAUCCGAUACUGCAUGGCUUGAGUGUGGGAGGGGAGAGUGGAACUUCUGGUGGAGCGGUGAAAUGCGUAGAUACCAGAAGGAACACCGGCGGCGAAGGCGACUCUCUGGUCCAUAACUGACGCUGAGUGUGCGAAAGCUAGGGGAGCAAACGGGAUUAGAUACCCCGGUAGUCCUGGCCGUAAACGAUGGGCACUAAGUAGAGGGGUUUU
rnacentral:rRNA from 1 species